GCCUUCGGGGUGUAGUGGUCAGCACGCUCGACGCGUAUUCGAGAGGUCCGUGGUUCGAGUCUCGGCGAAGGAA
rnacentral:tRNA from 1 species